AUGUGUAUUGUUCCAACUGGUCCAAAUGCUCUUUCUGCUGUACUUAUAAGUACACCAAUUUUAACUGGCCAUGGGGAAGGAGGAACUGGUUUAGCUGCAGCUAAGGGUGUGUCUAGAUAUGAUUUUGAUGUGGAUCCAAACUUGGAUCCUGAAGCACAUACAUUAAAUCUGAAGCACAUAUAUUUCAAGGUUUGUGUGGUAUGUUGGCAUGCCAAAAGUUUUGGAAAUGGUGAACACAUACGAUUAGUAGAAACAACCCGUUCCAGUAUUCACAAGGCAGAAGGGAAAACGUUGUAA